rnacentral:misc_RNA from 1 species
UAAAGACAACCUGCUCUUUCCCUAUCACUGCAGAAAUGCUAAAUCCAACUAUAAGGCCUCCGAGUUGCAAUGAGAAUUUACAUCAUCAACAAUUCACAAAGGAUUAACAAUAACAGAAUCUCAAAAGUAUCACCAGUUCAACUUAAAUUUGUAGCCAUAAUAUGGGGAUUCCUUUUCAGAGAUCAGAAUAUAAUUGAUAUAAUAGCUAGAUACCUAAAAGUAAAUGACAGUACUAUACGCACUGCACAUGUGCUCUUAAUAUUGGCUCAGCCACUGGCUCCAAUCCCAGAGAUCAAACCAUGAAGCUGCAUACUCCAUGGUUUUCUUCUCAAAUAACUAAGAACAGGUUCCUAAUAUAUUAUGUAUACGUGUGAUAGAAAAAUCCCACAUGAAAGGGAGAAAAUACACAAGUAAUAAAACUAAAAAUUGGUGGUGUGAUGUAUGGCAUCACAUCCACAGUUCCCUGACUUAAGCUAGAGAAAGAUCACAUGAUAUAAUCCUUAAUUAAGUGCACUUCAAUUCAAGAAUUCGUAUAGAAACAAAUAAGCCUUAGAACUAGAGCAGGUUGAUGCCAUGGAUAUGACAACAAAUUUAAGCAACCAAACUAUGGAACAACUCUUCAGCCUAGAACAGGCAAGGAAUUUAAGCAAUUAAAAUAAGCAAGAAUAAUUUAUUCACAUGAAUCAAAUAUUUAGCAUAUGUUAAUAUCAACUUGCUUUGACUAAUAGAGUUAUAAUCACAUGACACAUAAUUUCAUACACUAGACGAACAUACAACUAGAAUCUAAUUUCGAAACUGCUACUGCAAAGUAAACCCAACGCAACACCACCUGGUUUGUUUCUACCUGCAAAAGCCAAUGUCAACCCAAGCAAUUGUAUGGUUUAUUACCUCUAAACCUAUAUAAGGAUCACUUCAGUAGUAUGUCUUUCAAGAAGCAAGAAAAUUUAACAAAGAAAGUCCACCAUUCAGCCCUAUGGCAGUAUGCCUAUUCGGAGAAAUGAUGAACAUGAACCAGAUUUGGCCACACACUCUACAAGUUAUCCGUAUAUUUACUAUAUAUUGAAUGACUCAAGCAAAAUCACAUGAAUAAGAAAGCAAAAAGUGCCAUAAAAGAGUUCUUUUUUUAUUGUUUUGCCUUCUGUAAGUUUUGCUGGUUUUCUUGUAUAUGAUUUUUAUGAAAAAAAAAAAUUAGCAUGAGAUAUAAUGAAAGACCUAUGGUGGAACUUCCCUAAAUAAAAGUAAAAUAGCUGAUGCAGCACCUGCUUGCAUUGUCUUGACAUGAUCUAAGAAUGGGAGAGAGAACUGUUCAUGAUCCAUUAUGUCCCAAAUGAAUUUCCAACAGAAAAAUAGUACUUCUAUUAUGUUUUAGCAGAGAAAUUCAAAUUCUUUUCAAUGCACAACGUACAACACUCUUUAAUCAACCAUUGUAACAAUGCCCAUGAACUAUAUAGUAUUAUUACCUGUUCUUUAUAUGUCCAAAAAUCCAUUUCCAAGUUUAAGAAUCUCUAUUAGCAUACAAUGAAUUGCUUCCUUUUUAAAAAAAUGAAAAUAAAAUUGUUAAAUCAGCACUUAUUAAAAUCAUAUUAGCACCUUUAAGUACCAAUAUAUUAAGUAAUGAUGUUAAAGAAAGAUGAGAAGUGCAAGUUCCAAAUACAUAACAAUAUAAUUUUUUAUGCAUGAUAUGGUAAAAGAUAUUAAUAUCUUGAAUUUGAAAUAUCAUUUUAAACAAUGUUGUGCAGUUUUCUUGAAUUCAUUGAAAAGAACCAAUAGGAUGUUCAUUUAGUGGAAUAAAAUGUUUUUUUUUAGCCAUUCUAUGUCUCAAAUUAUAUUUUUGCCUUUACAUCCUUCCCCUGCAACAAUCCUUGUUAAAUUCCCAUACAUAUUAAGUUUUAAACUUCUGUUCUACACUAUUUCUAAUGAAAAUGUUCAAACAACGAUAACCUUCACAUUUUAAGAACCACCUAUGAAGCUUCCAGGAAAAGUUUAAUGCUUCACAUUAACAUCACAAUAUAGAGUUCAUAAGCAUAGCCUUUGAGGCAAACCUAGACCAGGUUGCUGAGUACAAAACCAAACAGUUGUUAGUUUGUUAUGCUAGGUAGGUACUGCAAUGUACACUCCAAUUUGCAAACCAGUCUGAAUGUGAACGGAAAUAUACCUUUCAUUGCGAUUAAG